AGAGUUUGAUCAUGGCUCAGGAUGAGCGCUAGCUACAGGCUUAACACAUGCAAGUCGAGGGGCAGCAUUUUAGUUUGCUUGCAAACUGAAGAUGGCGACCGGCGCACGGGUGAGUAACACGUAUCCAACCUGCCGAUAACUCCGGGAUAGCCUUUCGAAAGAAAGAUUAAUACCGGAUAGUAUACGAAUAUCGCAUGAUAUUUUUAUUAAAGAAUUUCGGUUAUCGAUGGGGAUGCGUUCCAUUAGUUUGUUGGCGGGGUAACGGCCCACCAAGACUACGAUGGAUAGGGGUUCUGAGAGGAAGGUCCCCCACAUUGGAACUGAGACACGGUCCAAACUCCUACGGGAGGCAGCAGUGAGGAAUAUUGGUCAAUGGGCGCGAGCCUGAACCAGCCAAGUAGCGUGAAGGAUGAAGGCUCUAUGGGUCGUAAACUUCUUUUAUAUGGGAAUAAAGUUUUCCACGUGUGGAAUUUUGUAUGUACCAUAUGAAUAAGGAUCGGCUAACUCCGUGCCAGCAGCCGCGGUAAUACGGAGGAUCCGAGCGUUAUCCGGAUUUAUUGGGUUUAAAGGGAGCGUAGGUGGAUUGUUAAGUCAGUUGUGAAAGUUUGCGGCUCAACCGUAAAAUUGCAGUUGAAACUGGCAGUCUUGAGUACAGUAGAGGUGGGCGGAAUUCGUGGUGUAGCGGUGAAAUGCUUAGAUAUCACGAAGAACUCCGAUUGCGAAGGCAGCUCACUAGACUGUCACUGACACUGAUGCUCGAAAGUGUGGGUAUCAAACAGGAUUAGAUACCCUGGUAGUCCACACAGUAAACGAUGAAUACUCGCUGUUUGCGAUAUACAGUGAGCGGCCAAGCGAAAGCAUUAAGUAUUCCACCUGGGGAGUACGCCGGCAACGGUGAAACUCAAAGGAAUUGACGGGGGCCCGCACAAGCGGAGGAACAUGUGGUUUAAUUCGAUGAUACGCGAGGAACCUUACCCGGGCUUAAAUUGCAACAGAAUAUAUUGGAAACAGUAUAGCCGUAAGGCUGUUGUGAAGGUGCUGCAUGGUUGUCGUCAGCUCGUGCCGUGAGGUGUCGGCUUAAGUGCCAUAACGAGCGCAACCCUUAUCUUUAGUUACUAACAGGUUAUGCUGAGGACUCUAGAGAGACUGCCGUCGUAAGAUGUGAGGAAGGUGGGGAUGACGUCAAAUCAGCACGGCCCUUACGUCCGGGGCUACACACGUGUUACAAUGGGGGGUACAGAAGGCGGCUACCUGGUGACAGGAUGCUAAUCCCAAAAACCUCUCUCAGUUCGGAUCGAAGUCUGCAACCCGACUUCGUGAAGCUGGAUUCGCUAGUAAUCGCGCAUCAGCCAUGGCGCGGUGAAUACGUUCCCGGGCCUUGUACACACCGCCCGUCAAGCCAUGAAAGCCGGGGGUACCUGAAGUACGUAACCGCAAGGAGCGUCCUAGGGUAAAACUGGUAAUUGGGGCUAAGUCGUAACAA
rnacentral:rRNA from 1 species